GCUCCAGUGGCGCAAUCGGUCAGCGCGCGGUACUUAUAAUGCCGAGGGUUGUGAGUUUGAGCCUCACCUGGAGUA